rnacentral:rRNA from 1 species
UACGGAGGGUGCAAGCGUUAAUCGGAAUCACUGGGCGUAAAGCGCAUGUAAGCUGCUUUAUAAGUCAGAAGUGAAAGCCCACGGCUUACCCGUGGAACUGCUUUUGAUACUGUAGAGCUUGAGUCUGUGAGAGGGUAGCAGAAUUCCAGGUGUAGGGGUGAAAUCCGUAGGGAUCUGGAGGAAUAUCAGUGGCGAAGGCGGCUACCUGGUGCAGUACUGACGCUGAGAUGCGAAAGCGUGGGGAGUCAAACAGGA